rnacentral:rRNA from 1 species
UGAGGAAUAUUGGUCAAUGGACGAGAGUCUGAACCAGCCAAGUAGCGUGCAGGAUGACGGCCCUAUGGGUUGUAAACUGCUUUUAUAAGGGAAUAAAGUUAGAGUCGUGACUCUUUUUGCAUGUACCUUAUGAAUAAGGACCGGCUAAUUCCGUGCCAGCAGCCGCGGUAAUACGGAAGGUCCGGGCGUUAUCCGGAUUUAUUGGGUUUAAAGGGAGCGUAGGCCGGAGAUUAAGCGUGUUGUGAAAUGUAGGCGCUCAACGCCUGCACUGCAGCGCGAACUG